GUUCAGACCACCUUUCUCACUCUUAACUAAUUCAGUGAUCUCCAGGUUAACUGGAACUGCUUACUUCUGAUCAACUAUAUUAAGCUAAACAGACACACCGUGGCAAGAUGCCUUUUUUUCUGUAAGUAAAUCCCAAUUAUACCCACCAGAGCAAAGAUGUUCAGACAGUGUCCUAACAGCUACCAUUUCCCCCAAGGCAUGCUGGAUAAAGAUCCCUCUAGUUGAGGAAGCAUUUUGGGCAUUGGUGGUUCACAACACUGGUGAAAAUUCCGGCAGCAUCACCACCCUUGUCACUUCUGCAGAAUCCAAUCACUUUUACAUUUAACCCCCUGAUAGCUCAGUUAAAGGAUUGGAAUCCAGGUGAAAGGGGUGUAUGUAUCCAUUAUUUCAAUUAGCAGAGCAUGAUUUGUUUUAUGUGAUUCAUGUAUAUAUUUAUUUUAUUCAUACCAAUUGUGUGUCAGCCUAGAGGUGCUCAGCUUGGAGCAUUUCACUGUAGCCAGUCUGUAAAUGCUUACUUUUCUGGAGAGUUGGUGUUACAACUGGUGGGGUGUGUGUUUAUGCCUGCUUCUUAUUUUUAUUUAGGAGCAUAACUAGAUAAACUUUUUUUUUCCAGCAAGGAGGAUCUUUUUGCAGGAAUUGGAUGAAGUUGAUAAACUACUCUCAGCCCUGGCCAAAGCCCAUUACCCAUGAUACAAGGAACAAGUUGGAGAGCUCCAGGCAGCACUAAGUGUUUGUAGUUCUUAUCUGUCCCUUAAAUGGCUUUGCAGUAUUUAUCUAGUCUGCAGUGUCUGAGCAAACAGAAUUCUGUGGGUGAAGGGGAGCUUUAGAACUUUUUGUUCCCAGGUUCUUCACAGUUAGGGUGUUCUUUCUCCCUACUGCACAGUAUAUUUGAGCCUAAACUCUUGCCACUUGCCAUUGUAUUCUCAGUUGCUGUGUUGGAGCCAUUUUGCUGACUCAUUGGUUUGGACUGAGAUUUGUCUCGCUUUCAUUACUCACCAUGGCAUCUGUGUUCAAUCCCUGUGAAAGUCCUCCUGUCUUCUCUGCAGCCUCCUGAAUCACUUCAUUUUUGUGUAGCUUCCACUGUUCUUCAGACAUCUUUGCCUGCUCAGUUAGCAGCAUUAAAAAUGGGGGGAAAUGGAGUUGGGAUAGCAUUUGGAGGAGCAGCCUUAACUGUUUCUGGCUGAGUAUGCUGACUUUGAAAUUAGCCUUGAUUUGUGAUUGAGCUCAACCUGAAUACAUUGCUACGACUCAGUGCAGGACAGGAUGGCGGCCUUGACAGCAGGGAGGGGAAAGUGAGUGCACAAGCAAGCAGUCUCCCCUUCCGUUGGCAUAACCUGUGAAAUAUUGCCUCUUGUGGCUGUAUCUUGCACUCUUGCUGAGCAUGAUGCCCAGUAGUGUAUUAAACACUAGUUGAGUCCAGGAGGGCAGCUGAUCACCCACGAGAGAUAAGCCAAGUUCUCUGAUGGCGGAUCAAUAAAGGUUAGUGACAUCAUAUCUCAAAGUGAGAGAACCUGCUUUCCACAGAGCCGUUUAUCAGAUGACAGCCUGAAACACUGUUAACAUUUUCCUUGCCAGGGACCUGCUUCCCACUAGAACUGGCCUCUAUGAUUACUCUGGGCCUUGUCGCUUUACACCUUUGCCUCAACUAUCCUCAUGUCUGUCCUCUUGUGGGUCUGUCAUGAGAGGAAAGUAUGCAUGUUGUGUUUACCUGCUGUGUUCCUGCAUAGACUGAGGUGUCCAUUGGGCUUUGCUAAGGAUUUGUUUCAAUAGGUUUGGAAAAGAGCAUUUUAGCAAAAAGCAGACAGAAUUCCUAUUGAGGCAUUCUCAUCAUUCCACUGGCAGCACAGUGAAAGAGACUGAGAGCAGGCUGAGUAGGUCACAGUGACCAAAGUUCCCUCGAGUCAGCCAUUCAGAUUGGAAGUGCCCACAUCGCCAGAUAUCUUCAUGUUGAUUGGCUUGUGAGCUGGACACGGGAUUUUGCAGGACAAGACAGGCCUCUAUCAUAGGAGGGGUUAACUCACAGGAAGGGAGUAACAGCUGGACUUCUGCUCCCUCCCCUCCUUCUCCCAAGGCCAUUUUCAGAGGGCAGUGCCAGUUCAGGGGGGUGGUGGGAUGAUGUCUGUGAUCCCAGUCCCAGCUAAUGGGCUGGUGUCCAAAUGGAAAGUGUAUUUUCAGGGUAGAAGUGCUGAGCCGUUAGUGAGGCCUGGAUUACUGGGUGAUUGUGCUGUCAAUACUGCCGUAUUGAGUCUGAGCAAGCCUUCACAACACAAGGAAACACUUAGCUCACUGCUCCUGCUUAUUGAGAAGCCAAUAGUAAUUUACUGGCUGACACUUGACAUCAGAUCCAUUCCCUGAGGUACAGUUCCUGCAAAACUAUCGUCGUGUCCUCUCUCAACUUACCAUUCCUGUUGCCCUCUUACCUGACAUGUUGGGGGAGGGGUGCAGGUGUUUGCCUUUUGUGUGUGUGCCUCUGCUAGACUUCAUGGCUUCUGUGGGGCAGCCACUCAUUCCCAUAGCAUGCAGCGCACAUGCUUCCACAGUUCAAUAAGGGCUGCUUCCUGGGAUAAGGUGAAACUUGUGUGUGUGUAUGAAAAGACUUUUGCUCUGUAUAUUUUGGCAGUGAGGACAGGUGAAGGGCUCCUAAUGUGCUACAGAAGGAGCAAUACUAGCCUGAGUUUCUAAGCUGCUUGUGCCCAGGACAGGCUUCUUGGAGGUUCUCCUCCUUUUCUUCUGCUCCCAGUUUUGCCUGUACUUAAUGUUCAUAGAAAUAAAUUGUUCAAAUUUUCAGUGCGGUAGGGUAUAAUUAAAGUAGCUCUUUAUAUAGAAAAUCUGCAGCAAAAUGCCCUAACUUCUAACAGAAGUGUUGUUGUUCAGGGAAUGAGCCACACCCUCCCCCAGGAUACAGUGGUACUUUGGUUGUCGAACUUAAUCCGUUCCGGGAGUCCAUUUGACUCCUGGAACGGUUUGAAAAGCAAGGUGUGGCUUCCGAUUGGCUGCAGGAGCUUCCUGCUCUCAAUCAGAAGCUGCAUCACACAUUCAGCUGAUGCAAACCAUAACACUCACUUCUGGGUUUGCGGCAUUCGGGAGCCAAAACGUCUGAGUACCAAGGUGUUAGACAGCUAAGGUACGACUGAAUUCCAUUUGACACCCCACCACCACAAUUUCUUGCUUUCUUUUCUAACUGACAUCUCAACAUAUUAUGGCAUGUAUAGCCCUCAUUUGUCUGGUUUUUUUUUGGGGGGGAGAGGGGGAGGGUUCUACAAAUCUUGAGGUUCCCCUGAGUAUGCUGACAUAGCUACAGUGAAACAAUAGGGUGAAACAGCUUCACUUCUGUUGACACUCAUCACCUGAGUUUACUAUUAGAGAGUGAUAGGAUUCUGACAUUUAUGGGCAUAAUGACCACACAAAACAUGUUUCAGUCACAUUUCAAAUGAAAGGACUAGGAGGUUAAUCCUCAUGUGUAGAGAGCUAGCUCAUCACUUAUAGCAUGCAGCGGUGAUGGAUAGAUCAUGGCACAAUGGUUUGAUUCCAGGGAAUGCAUCUUCAAAUGAUUGUACAACAUAAACAAGUUGAAAACUUAACCUUUCCUAGUUUUCCAGUUGCUUAUGACUUUGGUGUAGGUGCUUUGGUUGCCGUACAUCCCUCUUCUCCAUAUUCGGAGGGCUGGACCCAGAAACACUAGGAGGAGCUAGUGAUGUCUCCAUUUCUGGAUUGCUGUCUUCCUGAUGAACUCUGGGCAUGAUAUAGAUCUGCACCUCCUUUCUUUCUGUUGGCUGCUAGAAAUCCUCUUUUCAAUUUGUGGUUAGCAUGAAUGAGAGCAUACUGGGUGGUUGGGGGUGGAGCUAAGAUAGUCAAGAACAAUGUGAGAAGUGAUACUUUGGUCUGUCUUAGUGGCUCAGCUUGCUUGUGGAAAGCUUUGAAUCUGGUUACUAGUUCCCAGUUGUUUGUGCAAAGUUCAAAAUGAAACUCAGUCAGAAAACUUAAUCAAUUAAAGUUUAUGUGUCUCCUGAGCCCCAAAAUAAACUUUGGAAUACCUCAUAUCAUAUAACUCCUUGACUGGGGGACAGUCUCCUACAAGAUACACAAAGCUUUUCUCUAAUCAAGGUUGUCAUGUUUGUGCAACACACAUGAAUGUGUGGUGACCUCAGAUAUCAGCAACAAGUAAUGAUCAAGGAGUGUGCACUCCACAAUAGGUUUCAGGCCACAAAAAUCUUGCACCCCAUAUCCAGGAGAAUGUCCUUUGAUAUGGCAUUUAGUCAUAUAUUAAAUGUCAAUCAUAGUCAAAAUAUGAAAAAAUGAAUAAAGAACUUGGGGUGUAUACCUCAAAACUCUAAUGAAUAAAUGAUGACCUCAGAUUAACAUGGGUGUAUAUGUGUCAUAUUUGACACUGGCUUGUCCUGAAAUAAAGCAGUGGAUCAGAUUUUAUUCAGUGUCGUCUUACAUGGGAUACUGUUCUAGAAAUAAGGAUGUAUCAACAUUUACUGUGGAUGCACAUCACAGCCACACUGGUUUCUUUAGAUGCCUCCCACAUUUUUUACUUGUUGGAAUCAUCUGCAUUUGUGCCUUCAAUAGUUCACCUUUAAGAAGUUCCCAUCCAUCUUGAAUUCUCUUCUCUCUGAGAAUUUCUGACCAUGGAAUCUCACUUAAGCUUUAGAAAUCCACCUUCUUAAAAGUCCAGAGUAAAUAUCCAGCUACACUCAGCUUUCCCUUGCUUCUGUAUCAUGAAACCCAGGAGGACAUGAUCACUUCCUCCUAAGUUUCCCAGUACUUCCACUUCAUUGAUCAGUUCCUCUCUGUUGGUGAGGACCAAGUCCAAGAUACAUGAUCCCCUUGUUUCUUCCACCUUCUGGGAAAUGAAAUUGUCAGCAAGGCAGUGGAGAAAUUUUUUAGACCUUGCAUUCUUGACAAGGUUUUGCGUUCCAACAGAUAUCAGGGAAGUUGAAGUCUCCCAUGACUACUAUCUCUCUCACAUUGGAAUGUAUGGUAAUCUGCUGUAGGAAGGCAUUAUCUAAGACUUCAGUGUGGCUUGGAGAUCUAUAGCAGACACUCAAACUAAGGUCACUGUUGUUUCCCUCUCUUUCAAUUUUUACCCAUAUACUCUCAAACUGCUUUCCAUGUUCCAGGUCAUGGAUCUCUACACAGGUGUGUAUAUCCUUUACAUAUAAUGCUGCUACUUCUCCUUUCUUGUUUGGUCUAUUCCUUUUGAAUAAGUUUUGCCUCUCAAUUUCUACAUUCCAGUCAUAUGUCUCAUCCCACCAGGUUUCAGUAAUGCCUUUUAGGUUAUAUUUGCAAUCCUGUAUUGAGCUUGAAUUUGUCUUGCUUGUUUCUUAUACUCUGUGAAUUAGUAUAGACAACUGAAGCUAUGAGUCAUUCCCUCCAGCUGCUUCCUUCUUUUACUUUCCUCCCCUUUAGGAGGUUUCUGGAGCACCAUCUCAGUUUUCUGUGUAUCAAUGAAGCUGUUAUCCCCAGUUCCAGGUGUUCUCCUCUCAUCUGUAAUAUUGUCUUCCUCCCACUCAGGAUUUAGUUUAAAGCUCUCCUGAUCAGGUUUGUGAGACUCUUAGCAAACGCACUAUUGCCAACCACUGUGAGGUCCCACUCAUCUUUUGCCCGAAGUCCUUCCUCAAGGAAGCAGAGACUGAAUAAGGAACUGGUGGUAUACACAGUACGAUAAGCUUUGGUCCACCACAAAUCAUAUACCCACAUCACCAGUACAGUGUCUGCUAUAUUAUAUAUUUAUAAAAGUAUUUAUCUACUACUAAAUCACAACACAUCAAAGCAGUUUACAACAUUAAGAAGAUAAUCAUGC